UUCCGAGCUAAUUGAUCAAUCAAAAUGGCCAGCAAGUUCCCAUUUGUGUACUUUCUGGUGACCUUGGUUUUAAUUCUCUUCUGCUCUUCAACGAUUCUUCCUCUUGCAGAAGCAGCAAAAACAAGAAAGACGGCGGCAGCACAUGGCCACAUGAUUAACGGAAUUAAAAUCGGUGUCAGUGGAAGCUACUCUAAACAUGGAGCUCAGGGUUUCGUUCCUUCUAAGCCUACACCUCCCUAAGCCAUAGCAAAGUGAUGCAUGUGGUGGCGGGUUGCUCAAUCGAUCAGCUCUUGCUAUUGCUAUUAAAAUAAGUGUUUGCUUGUAUUUGGUUUUUAAGAUUCUACUCCAAGUUGGUAUAUGAUCAUGUAUGCUAUUUCUGUCUACAUACAAAAAUUAUAAAUAAAUAUAAUAAAUUCUAUUGAAGUAAUGCCAAUUCA